UAUAUCACAGAUCAUGUACAUGGUAUUACUCGAAUUUUCGUAAAUUUUUGCUGGAAAAAGAAGAAAAUCUAGGAAACAAGAAUUUUAUGAGAUGAGUAUCGUGUAUAUUUAUAUGGUUGUGAAUUACAUUGUUUUUUAUUUUAUUGUAGACAAUACGCAGUAUUUUAUUUGUUUAUUCGCCUGCGGAGAUUCCUCCCCAGUGUUUUGGGUUGUUGGCUAUGGACGUAGGCAGAAUCAUUCCUUCCAAUUCAUCAACUAUAUGUUGGAAAGGUAUAGAAGAAAUUUUCAUUUAUCUUCCAUCUUGUUUAUCAUCUAUUCUAUGGUAAUCAUCAAGUCAUUAUCUCGUCUUCGUUUCUCGAGGAAACCUCAAGUCGCCAUUUUUGCUGUUAUUAAAUGGGAACGACGUUUCAAGACAUGCUUUAAGACAACGUCCUUGGGAUUAAAUGGGCAAACGACUUACAGAUGUAAUGUUUGUGGCAGUUAGACUUAUUUUCAUUUCCAAGAAUGCUUCUGUUUGAAAGAUACAUGGGACGUGAUGUGAACAGUGGUUUCCAAUAAAACAUAAUUGAACAUGGAGAGGCUAAAUCAAGAGAGCGAUGAAGAAGAAACUCAUUCAGGAUUCUUUUUCUAGAGCUAGGAAAUGGUUCAUUUGUGAAAAGGCUAAGAAAUGUUUAAUUAUUUUAUUAAGUUGUAUCUGUGAAACGGUUUGACAAUAAUUACUACUUAAUUUUUUA